UACGUAGGGGGCAAGCGUUGUCCGGAAUCAUUGGGCGUAAAGCGCGUGUAGGCGGUCCGGUAAGUCCGCUGUGAAAGUCGGGGGCUUAACCCUCGGAUGCCGGUGGAUACUGUCGAGCUUGAGUACGGAAGAGGCGAGUGGAAUUCCUGGUGUAGCGGUGAAAUGCGCAGAUAUCAGGAGGAACACCAAUUGCGAAGGCAGCUCGCUGGGACGUUACUGACGCUGAGACGCGAAAGCGUGGGGAGCAAACAGG
rnacentral:rRNA from 1 species